ensembl:processed_transcript
AAACACAGGAACGGGGCAUCACCAGCCUGGAAGGGCUAGGGGCCUCGCAGUGCAUCCCUCUUCCAGGCAUAGAUCAUCUUCUGUAUACAGCCACUGUGUCAGCAGCUAGCAACACUGACAUGAACAGGUACAAGAAGGGCCUAACAAUGUGUUGACCAACUGACACCAAAAGACUUCUGACUCCUGAGCCCUUAGUUCCGGUCUGCUGAGUCACCACUAAUGUUUGCCUGCACGUGCACCAGGAGUGUUCCUGGGGUCUAAGGAAGCUGGAAGAAGGCAUUGAAUCCUCUGGAACUGUAGUUACAGGUGGUUCUAAGACACCAUAUGAGUGCUGGGAAUGGACCUGAGUCCUCUGCAAGACCAGCAAAUGCCCUCCCUUAACUGCUGGACCACCUUUCCAGCUCUGAAAAGUUUUCUUCAAAAUGCGGCUUAAGUGAAGAGGGAACCAGCACAGGGCGAAGAUGACAACCAAGCAGAAGACAGUCUUUGCCACUUCUCGACGCUAAGGGCAAGUUCAUGCAAACAAGGAUAAAGAUUAAGAUGUCAACUCUCAGCUAUUGCUCCAGUGCCUGCUUGCCUGCUGCCAUGCUCCCCGCUAUGAUGUCAUGGACUUAUGACAUCUAAACUGAUCUGACUGUGUGGCUCUGGAUGCUGCCUUGCCCUCCCGAGUGCUGGAAUGGCAGUGCUUUGAUACCAUGCCCAGCUACCAGUUCUUGUGAUUCUUAUGAUACCUCAUCAGGGUGGAGUUUGGUAGCUUUGGAAGCCUGUUCCAAGAGAGAAAACCAGCCCGUAUGCUUAUAGACUUAAACAGGAGCCUAGCAAAACUGUCUCCUGAGAUGCUUCAUCCAGCAGCAAAUAGAAACAGAUGCAGAGACCCACAGACAAACAUCAGGUGGAGCUCAGAAACCCUGGUGUGAAGGCAGCAGAAUCAGUAACUCUCCACUGGCAACGAAGCUGGAGCUGUGUCCUUGCAGGAGGAGAGCGUUGGCUGGGAAGAAGCUGAACGCCCAUCCUCUUUAAUGUUAGGAAGCUCUGAGAAGCUCUGAGAAGAAGAGCCUUGGCCCAGAGCGUCAUAGUGAAGUUGCUUUGGCGAAGUUCCUUUUUAAGACCUUUGGCUGUGGGUGAGCUAUGUGACCUGGGAAAUGUAAGGCAAGCUGUUGCUGCAGAUGUAGCCCAGACACAGGGCACACAAAGCCGCUGAGCUUUUGUCCUUUCAGAAACUGCAACUCUAUGAUCCAAUAAAAGCAGCUUUUAAGUUUAAGUCAUCUGACAGUUUAUGUGAGGUGACAAUAAGUUAAUUUAAUAGAUGUUUAUUUUCCUCAUUUUAGAGACGUCAUUAAUUCUAGCUUAUGUUCGAAUUCAAUAUAAUAUUUGUGCAAAACACAAAUGAAUUGUAUAUACAGUUUGUGACAGUUAGUUUUAAUUGUCAACUUGACAUAACCCAGGAUCAUAUGGGAAAGGAAUCUCAGUGAGGGAUGGUCUACAUCAGAUUGGCCUGUGGGCACAUCUAAGUGGGAUUGUCUUGAUUGCUUGUGUUUAUGUGAAAAUCCAGGCCAGCAUAAAUAGCACUGCUCCCGAGACAAGAGGUCAUGCAUAUGGAGCCAAGCACAGGCAAGCAAGCAAGCAAGCAAGCAAGCAAGCAAGCAAGCAAGCAAGCAAGCAAGCAUUCAUCUCUCUUUUUGACCAUGGUUGCAAUGUGAUAGACUAUAACCUGGAAGCAUAAGCCAGGGAGAUCCUUUUUCCCCAUACUUUAAUUUUUGUCAGGAUAUGCUUAUCACAGCAACAGAAAUUGAACUAUAUUAGCGUUUAUUCCUAUUAAUCCUGUUGUCUACAAAAAAAAACCAGUAAGAAUAAGUUAUCAAAUACUGGACAGUGCAUUUUCAGGAAAUACAGGGUUGUGUUCCUUUUAGUCUCUGAUCACUUGUUCGCCAACAGACUAAUUCAUAACCUUGAUUUUUCUGUCUUUAUGUUCAGCGGUACUACUUAGUAUGUGUUGUUGAUUCAUUGGCAUGGGACUCACGGUCAACAGCAUUGUAGCUCAUGCCUUGGUGAAGGCUGCCUGACACACAUACCCUUCACUGGCACACCACAGCUUCCUUGUACUUAGAAAUAUGAAAUGGUACUUCAGCACCAGCUCAGGGGUCAUUUUACAUGUCAGAAUCCCCACACAAAAGUGCAAAAAUAAAAAAAAACUGUGGUGUCGUUAGAGUGUGAAAGAACACUUGUUCAUGGUGUGGAAACUGGAUUGUGAAGUCAGAAGUUUGCUUGGUCCAUCAAAUUUGAGGAUGUAUGGAUGGGUAGGACCGCAAACAUUUCCUGUCUCUAUGGACACAGGGAAGGUUGAUUUGCAGGCUACAAAUCCUUUUGACAGAUGGGCAAAGUCACAAAUGUGGAAUCCUUGAAACAUAAAAAAAAAAAAAAAAUCCACCAUUGGGGCUCGAGAGAUGGCUCAGUGGUUAAGAGCACUGAUUGCUCGUCCAGAGGUCCUGAGUUCAAUUCCCAGCAACCACAUGGUGGCUCACAACCACCUGUAAUAUAAUCUGGUGCCUUCUUCUGGUGUGUCUGAAGACAGCUCCAGUGUGCUCAUAUACAUUAAAUAAAUACAUUUUUAAG